GGUGCAAAAAUUGUGAUCGAUCAGUCACUGCGUGGCCUUAUUUAUCGAGCAGCGAAAUCAGCAGCGGCCUCCGGAUCUUCGUUCCUCACUCGAUCGCCAUUGCAGCAUAAGGGAAGGGAGGGAAGGAAGCAAGCGAGGAAAGGGGAUUUUCCGCAGUCGCAGGAGAAUUUUGGAGAGAUGUUGUUCGGAAUUAUGAAAGGCGAGCCGCUGCUGACGAAGGCGGCGGCUGUGGCCAAGUACGGCGUGCUUCCUGGCGCUAUGCUAUGGGCGCUCAUCUACUCGCCGCCCGAUUACGCUUUGCCUAAAAAACAAUCCGAUUCUGGAUCCUCCGCUGCCUCGAGUUAGACGAGUUCUUAAUGUGCAUCUUUUUCGAUGGAUUUGUGGGAUCUUGGAUGAAGACAGUAUUGAAUAAUCGUCUUGCUGCUUCAUUGCUGUAAGACUGCUGUAAACGUUCCUCAGGUUCUUUGUAGUUGUGCUUUUUCUACCUCUAUAGUAACAUUUGUGUUGUGGUAGAAUUUGAUGCAUGUUUAAUGUCAUGCCUUGAGUUUUCGAGCUUCAAUAAGCUUAUACAUAUGUCUCUUUCCGUAA